rnacentral:rRNA from 1 species
GACAGAGGGGGCAAGCGUUGCUCGGAAUUACUGGGCGUAAAGGGCGCGUAGGCGGGAUGGCAAGUCGGUCGUGAAAUCCCUCGGCUCAACCGAGGAACGUCGAUCGAUACUGCUGUUCUUGAGGAUUGCAGAGGAGACUGGAAUUCCCGGUGUAGCGGUGAAAUGUGUAGAGAUCGGGAGGAACACCGGUGGCGAAGGCGGGUCUCUGGGCAAUUCCUGACGCUGAGGUGCGAAAGCGUGGGGAGCAAACAGG